rnacentral:rRNA from 1 species
CGCGUAGGCGGCUUGAUAAGUCGGGGGUGAAAGCCUGUGGCUCAACCACAGAAUUGCCUUCGAUACUGUCAGGCUUGAGACCGGAAGAGGUAAGUGGAACUGCGAGUGUAGAGGUGAAAUUCGUAGAUAUUCGCAAGAACACCAGUGGCGAAGGCGGCUUACUGGUCCGGUUCUGACGCUGAGGCGCGAAAGCGUGGGAGCAAACA